rnacentral:rRNA from 1 species
UACGUGAGGGGCUAGCGUUGUCCGGAAUCAUUGGGCGUAAAGAGCUCGUAGGUGGUUUGUUACGUCUGCUGUGAAAACCUAGGGCUUAACCCUGGGCUUGCAGUGGAUACGGGCAGACUAGAGGUAGGUAGGGGAGAAUGGAAUUCCUGGUGUAGCGGUGAAAUGCGCAGAUAUCAGGAGGAACACCGGUGGCGAAGGCGGUUCUCUGGGCCUUACCUGACACUGAGGAGCGAAAGCGUGGGGAGCGAACAGG